rnacentral:rRNA from 1 species
AGUGAACGCUGGCGGUAGGCCUAACACAUGCAAGUCGAACGGCAGCACAGUAAGAGCUUGCUCUUACGGGUGGCGAGUGGCGGACGGGUGAGGAAUACAUCGGAAUCUACUUUUUCGUGGGGGAUAACGUAGGGAAACUUACGCUAAUACCGCAUACGACCUACGGGUGAAAGCAGGGGAUCUUCGGACCUUGCGCGAUUGAAUGAGCCGAUGUCGGAUUAGCUAGUUGGUGGGGUAAAGGCCCACCAAGGCGACGAUCCGUAGCUGGUCUGAGAGGAUGAUCGGCCACACUGGAACUGAGACACGGUCCAGACUCCUACGGGAGGCAGCAGUGGGGAAUAUUGGACAAUGGGCGCAAGCCUGAUCCAGCCAUACCGCGUGGGUGAAGAAGGCCUUCGGGUUGUAAAGCCCUUUUGUUGGGAAAGAAAAGCAGCAGGUUAAUACCCCGCUGUUCUGACGGUACCCAAAGAAUAAGCACCGGCUAACUUCGUG